GUGAGGGAGCUUAAUUAGAACAAUAGCCCACUUAGAGUGCAUGAGCUACCCGUGUAUAAUUCUCAGAGAAACACGUUUGUAUUGAGGAAGUUUAAUUAGAACAUCAGCUACCUGAGUGCAUGUUGUAGAUGAAGUGUAUAGCUGGGAAGGAGACACGCGUCUAGGCUUCUGAACACCCACCGACUCACUCCCACCUAUUUCACCUUCCUCUCUUCUAGUCUGUCCCAAAAACCAUGCAGAGAAAGAAAACUCCAAAUUUCAUAACCAAAGUUUCCUUCACCGAAUCAAUUACCCUCUCCUUUAUUUCAUUAAAACCUUCACCAGUCUCACUCUUCUUCCUGUGUAAUUUUCAUCACCCACCAUAGAAACCAGCCAUGAUGGUUAUUACCUGAAGGGAAAUAUGGGUGUCUGACCCAUCAUUUGAGAUUGAUCGUCUUAGGCUUGGAUUCUGGAUCGAUUAAGAUUGGACGAAGGAAGGGAGAAUUGGAGAAGUGGGUUCUAGCGUUCAUUGCUGCAAUUGGAAGUUAGAGGCGUUGGGUGUGGGCAUCAGCGAACCUAAUCAUUAAAUUGGUCAAGAAAGGACUCCAGUUACCCGAGGAACAGAAGGUUCGCAACUCUCGGAGUACGUGAGAGAAAGCAUCGGAAUUCAGGUAGGGAUUCAGGACUCUCCUCGGUUGGUGAUUUUCUUUUAUAUUUUAUUAAUGUGAUGCAUGAUAAGUGGUAUGGGUUGGUUAUGUAAAAUGCAAUGCAUACUAACCAAUCCGUGAGAAAAUGUGUGAUGGCUUGAGAGCGAAGGGUGGCUCUGACUUCCUUGGGUUCGAUCCCCUUAACCUCCGGAGGGUUAGUUACGCCGGUCGUCCGGGUAUUCCGAUUGUAAUGACGGGCCCGGUACGUGUGUGUAGCUAGGUGGUGGACGCUCUCGCUACGCUUACCUGGUGAUAAAUUAAUUUGAGGUAAAGUCGUGUAGUGGGUGUAUGGGACCGGCCAUCAGGUAAUACUUGGAUUUGGCGCCGUAUUUAUUUAAGCAUCAUGCAUCGGUUUUCAAGUUGAAAAACAUUAAAGUUUGUCGUUCUUUAAAAUAUUUGGUUUAAGUAUGUUUCAUACUGGAGCGCUCCCAAUACUGGUCUAUUGAUUUUCAAACCUAGUCGAGUUAGAGUUCCUGUUGAGCAGCGAGGACGAAAGCUCACCCCUACAACAGUAUGGAUGCAGGUACUGUGCACUGGUGACGGGACAGUAGCGGACGGAGCUGGGUGUGCGGAACAAGUUCGGUAAAUCUUUGUUUGGUUUCCAAUCUGAUUUCUACUUCGCGAUCUUCGUGUUUCAGGACUUGUUGAAGUCUAGUCUCGUGUCAAAAUGAGUUGAAUUCUUUUCAUAGGGAUUCGUACCUCAUGCUAGCUUUUAUCCAAGUUCUGGACGGAUGAGAUAGGGUUUAACAAAUUCAAGUUUUUCACCUCAAAAGUAUUUGUAGCUUCCGCUGUGUUUCUACAAAAAGUUUUUCAAAUAAAAUGCCUAGCGGUCUUUAGAAUGUAAAUCGAGCGUUCGGUUUAUGUUUUAGAGAUUCGCGGCACUGUGACGUUUUUAAGCUGGUGAGGUGCAGUUUGGGGCGUUACAGAAAGUGGUAUCAGAGCAAUGCUUCCGAGUUUUCGAUUUCAAGGACUUAAAAACCUCUGAUACCCGAAACAGUUCUGUUGGCUCGUGAAAAAUUUUCAAAUCCUGUUAGAAGAUUGACUUGAGAAAUGCUUGUUCGAAAACGUGUUUCCGAACCUUUGACUUGAAAAGUUGUUAGAAUUUCUACCUAACGUUUAAAAAGGUUUGACUUCGGUUUUCAAGACCUAGUUGCGAAAGUUUUCGGAAAGAGGAUUUUGAAAAUCAGUUCACGAGCGGGUUUUAAAGGUGUUUCGGAAAAGGGGUGCUAAAAGCGAAAGUGCUUUGAAAGGCGAGUUGUUAAAAAGGAUGGUUGCUAGUGUGUGUUCAUAUAAUUACAACUCUUCACACGGUUUAGGGCCCGACUGGCCACCGGAUCCCCCUAAUGUAUACCGGGGUUGAAGUUGUUAAUUAUUGAAUACAACCUGCGACAACUAAAGUACUCGAGAGUUAUUUCCUGAAACUUCAACUUCCUGUUAGUCGGAACUAUUGUCUGUUUCCUCUUCGGAUUCCUUAAUCCGAAAAUCGUUAUCCCUCCUUGAAAGGUUGACUUAUGUUCCGACUUGUCCUUGUAAUUGAACUUGUGUUUGCUCGGUUUUCUAUCCCCUUUGAAUGUUGAGAUAUUGUGGGAUUCAUUUACCGAUUCGGUUGUUUGCCAUCUUUUUGUUCAAUGAUUCCGGUUCGUUAAAUUGUGCUCAUUGCUAUUAAUGUUGGGCUUGGUAAUUAUUUCUUCUUUGGGUAUUUUGUCGAGUCUAGUUUAUUUGAUUGCUUCCACAUACUCGAUUGUGGUGAAUUGUCCUAAAUUCUUUCAAGUCCAACUGUUACGUGUUUAUACAUUGUGCUGAAUUGAUUGAUGGAUUCACUCUCAAACCGUGUGUAUCCAUUUGUUGUGUUAUUAAGUGAAUCCUGUUCAUUGAAGUAUUGCCAGUGUUUGCUUCUGUUUUCUAAAUUUGAUCAAGUCCAAUUAUUGUGUAUGCUAUUAUUUGUUCUUUGAAUUUGAACAAGUAUUGCCACCCAAAGCUCCUCCACAGUGCACAGACCGCGGCAAAGUUGUGAGCCCAGUAUGAGGUAAAAAUAAAAGGAGCAAGGUAUGUGAACGACAAACUUGAGUAUAUGGGAAUGCGAUUGAUGUUGGAAAUUGUUGAAAUGUGAAAUGUAGUUGGUUGUAAUUGAGUUGUGGAAAUGUUGGUUUCGGAUUGAAAUGAUUAUAGCAUGGGACUACGUACUAAGUCCGAUUU